rnacentral:misc_RNA from 1 species
GUGAAUCAUCAAAUUUUUGAACGCAAAUUGCACUCUCUUCGGAGAGUAUGCCUGUUUGAGGGUCAGCCUAAAAAAAAAUCGACAUCGUUGCUGUUUCGCGGUUGCUUUCGUCGGAAAUUGGGUUAUCUUAAAUUUUUGGCUUAAGCGGCUUAAAAUUUUCUUUACGAUUCCAUUAACGUUUCCAAGAUUUAUUUCUUUACACGUUUAAGGUUUCUAUUUUUUUAGGCGUGCUCGCCGUAUCGGAUCAUGUCCAUAAUUUUUCGUUAACUGACCU